UGCAUUUGAAGCCCAUGAGGAUGAGAACCGCCGGGGGCGGGGUGGUUCGACUCGAGCGAUGCGAGAGAACGUUGCGCCAGCAACGGCCCGCAGGGCGAGCCACGAAGUGGCGAGUAAUCCUCUAUCACCGACCA
rnacentral:sRNA from 1 species